rnacentral:snRNA from 1 species
AUACUUACCUGGUGCUGGGGCCUCGUUGAUCACCGAAGACGGGCCCCGCGGGCGAGGCGCAAUAUUGCACGGCGCUCGCGUUGACCUAUGCAAUUACCCCAAAUUAGGGCAUGUGGACAUGCAAAUUGC